ACGGAGGGAGAGAGCGCUGUUUCAAAGAAAGAGAGAGAGAGAGAGAGAGAGAGAGAGAGAGGGAGAGAGAGAGAGAGAGAGAGAGAGAGAGAGAGAGAAAUUAUAAUAUUAUCACUUAUAUUAUAAUAUAAGAUAAUAUAAGAUUAUAAUAUUGUCACUUAGGUCUCAGAAGUCUAGAUUGAAUGUUUAGUUAUGCCCUACAAAGUUUAUCAAAGCAAUUUUGUCGAUAAUCUGGUCUGGAUAUUUAAGACUUGGUGCAUAUAAGUUUUAUCUUGGUUGCUAUAGAUCGCUUAUCUUUAUAUUUUAUUUCCUACAUAGUCAUCAAGAAUUAGUUCUUCAGUAUAUGAAGAAUAAAGCUAAUGAACUCUUCCCUGAAGUCAAAACCAGUAGUCCAGAACGGGCUUCUGAUAUUGGAUUUACUUUGGGCAGACCUGCCUUGGACAAAAAUGUAGAUGAAAAAAGGAGCAUUGUCAAAAGAGAAUUUAGAGAGUCUCUUGGCCACAACCAAUCAGAUAAUGAAAAAGAUGUCACAGAUUCCCUUCCUGUCCAUCCCUUACCUGGAACCUUUUCAAUGCCUGUCCAGAAGAUAUCUGCUCCUCUGGACAUUAAUAAGGAAGAAUUAAUGGACACAGAAGAGGAACCAAAGAAUGAUGGCAUGUUAAUGGUCAAUAAUGCCACUAGAGAACAAAGACAUGGUGAAACUCCAAAUUCUCCGAGUGAACUUGGAGCUCACAGCAUGUCACAGAAGUGUGCUGUUAGAAAAGAUCUGAUGUCAGCAUUCACAGGGGGAGAGGAAGAAGAUGCAGAAUCACCCUGGGAUUCAGAGGUAUUUCCUAUUAUUCUGAACUGUCAAUAUGGAGUGUGA
rnacentral:lncRNA from 1 species